UACGAAGGGGGGCUAGCGUUGCUCGGAAUCACUGGGCGUAAAGGGUGCGUAGGCGGGUCUUUAAGUCAGGGGUGAAAUCCUGGAGCUCAACUCCAGAACUGCCCUUUGAUACUGAAGAUCUUGAGUUCGGGAGAGGUGAGUGGAACUGCGAGUGUAGAGGUGAAAUUCGUAGAUAUUCGCAAGAACACCAGUGGCGAAGGCGGCUC
rnacentral:rRNA from 1 species